rnacentral:rRNA from 1 species
UGUUGUGGGGGAUAACUAGUCGAAAGAUUAGCUAAUACCGCAUACGACCUGAGGGUGAAAGUGGGGGACCGCAAGGCCUCACGCAGCAGGAGCGGCCGAUGUCGGAUUAGCUAGUUGGUGGGGUAAAGGCCUACCAAGGCGACGAUCCGUAGCGGGUCUGAGAGGAUGGUCCGCCACACUGGGACUGAGACACGGCCCAGACUCCUACGGGAGGCAGCAGUGGGGAAUUUUGGACAAUGGGGGCAACCCUGAUCCAGCCAUGCCGCGUGAGUGAAGAAGGCCUUCGGAUUGUAAAGCUCUUUCAGACGGAAAGAAAUCGGGUGGGUCAAUACCCUGCCUGGAUGACGGUACUGUCAGAAGAA